UCAUCAUUGUUAGCCAACACAAUAUCGCAUCGUAUUUAUUCAAUCCAAUAUAUAUUCUAACAUGUAUUCGGAGAUAAUGUUCCACCAGUAGUCUACUCUACGCUGUGGGCUAACGGUACUCAAAAGAAGAACUCGGGUGUAAAUAGUUUAACAAUGAAGCUGAUCUCCAUGACAAACAGCCCAACAGCAGCCCGGUGUCACCGUCGCCAUAGUCACCGUGUUGGUCCUUUAAGUCGACGCGUGCAGGAGUUUCAAAACAAGACAAACACAGACAGCAACAGGAUUUACAUUUGAACAUUUCUCUAAAAUGCCCAAAGGAGGGAAGGGAUAUUCUUCCGCGAGCAAUGAUGGCAAAUGGUAUGCCCAUGACACAGGGUUCAAAGAAGCGUGCACCAUCACUGGGACCAUGCUGGGGCAGGUUGUAUCGUCUGGGCCGCAAGAACUACGAGUUGAACGUCAUCUCAAGUCGAAAAAGCAGGAUCCUCCUGAUUUUCGAUUCUCGACCCACGACAACAGAGAAGCGAUACGAGACGGGAUCUGCCUCUUUUCUCAGGGUCUUGGGCGCAAGAAGUGUCCAGAUGACCACAGACAGCACAACUCUCACUUCUGCCUGUGCCACGAUGAUCCUGUGGCAGUAAGUUGGCCGUCGACCGCGGGGGACCUCACGGCCUACCAGACUGAAGGCUUAGUGAGGAAGGACCAGGCAGAGGCCGUCACCAACAGGCGUUUCCCCCGCAGCCAUCAGGAGAAGUCAGCAGAGGCCGCCGCGGCCCAGGCCAGGGAACCUGCUUUCAUGUGGUUUGGACGACACGACUCAGAGGACUCUGUGCCCCUUGGGGUCCUUGCAGCUACUAACUGCUUAGCCACGCGAAUAUAAGCCGCGGUUUCUUGCAUCAUUACAUUGUAAGCUCUCCCUUAGUAAGAGGGGAGUAAUUGAACGUGUUUCUAUUUUUUAUUUUUAUUUUUUUGCCAGCAGAGGGCAGCAUAUAUUCUAGUUUAAAUCUGCGAGCAAAUUGGGAUGAAAUGGAUAUCAAUGGUUUGGUCUUGGUUCGUUCCUUUCAAACCGCAUACUAUGUAGGCAUAGCAAUAACCAUUAAACAAUGCGCCAUCAAGUGAUUAAGCAAGAGUAAGCAAGUGAUAACGUCCACUUAUAGAAUGAAUUGGGAGUUAUUUGAGCUAAAGGCCUAUAUGUAUAGAUUUUUGUCACCAAUCGAUUGCACAUUAAAAGCCCUGUUGAAAUGGAAAAAAGUAAAUGAUUUCCACAUGGACUUUCAACCACCCUGUAAAUCGUCAGUGCUUGCAUAUAUUUAUCUCACUCACACACACACACACACACACACACACACACACACACACACACACACACACACACACACACACACACACACACACACACACACACACACACACACACACACACACACACACAUAGGUUCAGCAAAACUGCUGCUUCCAUAGAGUGAUCUCCUAAUCCAGUAGGUUGGUGACCUAUGCCAUGGUAGGAAGUCAAGGAUUUGGUUAUUUGAGACACAGAAAUACAAGGUGAAAAUAAAUAAG
ensembl:lncRNA